UACGGAGGGCGCGAGCGUUAAUCAGAAUUACUGGGCGUAAAGCGCGCGUAGGCUGUUGUGUAAGUUGGGGGUGAAAUCCCACGGCUCAACCGUGGAACAGCCCUUGAUACUGCGCGACUUGAAUCCGGGAGAGGGUGGCGGAAUUCCAGGUGUAGGAGUGAAAUCCGUAGAUAUCUGGAGGAACAUCAGUGGCGAAGGCGGCCACCUGGACCGGUAUUGACGCUGAGGCGCGAAAGCGUGGGGAGCAAACAGG
rnacentral:rRNA from 1 species